rnacentral:lncRNA from 1 species
ACAAUACUUUGAAAGAGAGAGAGCGCCGCUACUCUCGAUCCAGUGCUCCAACAUCGGCUCAGAUCUCUCGCUUUUAUAUCACCGUGUCAAGCCUCUCCGUCACGCCGUCAAGCCUCUCCGUCACGCCGUCAAGCCUCCAUCAAGUGUCACUGCUUCAAGCCUCCAUCAAGUGUCACUGCGUCAAGCCUCUCUGUCACGCCAUCAAGCUUCCAUCAUGCGUCACCGCGUCAAGCCUCUCUCCGCUGUCAUAAGUCACCGACGCGGCACCGCGCCAUCACUAGCCAACCAACCACCAAAAUUGACAGCCGUGCUAGCUACCCAC